rnacentral:lncRNA from 1 species
GUAAAUGCUGGAAUACAACUGUCAUACUGAUUUGUAGGUUAACUGUCAUGCAAUUGUCACAAUUAAAAUCUUUCCUCCUAACCUAUCUUUAGUUAGUUAUCAAUAAAACAUUAGGCAAUCAGUGUUCUUGAGAAACUAAACAGAAUUACAAUUUAGGAUUCAGCUGGAAAAUAUAUUUAUUGAACACAUACUAUGUUCAAUGGCAUUAUUUUAGGUCUUUGAAGAAUUCAGAAAUAAAUUAGAGGGAGUAUAUUAUCCAGUGAGGGAGAGAUUUAUCAAUAACCAAAAUGUUCCGCAGAAUGUUCUAAAUGUUCUCAUGGAGGUGAGUGGGUGAUGACAAUGUUAAGAAAACAAUUUUUUAUAUUGCUUCAUGUAUUUCCUUUGUCUUCGUAGGCUUUACUUUUUGCCAUAUAAUGACCUCCUUCUGUCCCAGACUUCUCUCUCGGUAUUUGAAAAGAAGAAGAGAGAUACAGAGACAGAGACAGAGAGAUGGCAUUACAUUUAGCAAAACCUGGUCACAAAUAAGCUUUGGAGCAGACGAUUUUUCUUAUUGGUGAUUUAGAUUGGAUCUGAGGAAACAAAGGGAUACUGUUUUAUGGCUAUUAAAGAAUUUAGACAAAAGGAAUGGACGAGAGAAUUGAAGACAAUUGAGUGUGAUUUAAGCAUAUUUUCACCAAACACCAGUGACCUUGGAACCAGAAGGCCUGAGUUGAGCUGGAAUCUGGAGGAGAGAAAAACAUAGGAUAACGACUUUGGUGUGAAAAUUUGGUGUACUAGGAAUUACUUGUUAUGUAUUGAGAAUAUUUAGUAGGCAUUUGAGUUUAUAGUCAUUUCAAACUACCCCCAACUUUUAUUUACAUGGACAUCUGUAGGUGUAAAAGGCUGAAAUUAAGUCUCUGAAACAUAGAAUCUCAAUUUCAGGAGGAACACUUGAGAGUCAUUGGCCUAUAGAUGAUAGUUAAAGCCAUGAACCUGAAGGAGACCUUCAAGGGAGUGAGUAUAGGUCACAAGGAGAACAGAUAACUAUGAACAAGUCCUACGGCAUCCCGCAUUCUGAAGUCGAGGAGAAGAGAAAAUCAUGAGAGUCCGAGAAGAAGGAAACAGUGAAGGAGGAGGAAAAUCAAGGGAGUGUGGCAUCUUGGAAGCCACCAAGUGAAGAAAGAACUUCUAGAUGAAGCAUGACAGAAACUGAGUACUAGGCAUUGGACACAGCAAUGUGGAGAUGAUCUAUGAACUUGACAAAACAGUGUGUAUGGUGUUUCUAAUAAAAUACCUUAUUCAAGUGGGCUUCA